GGUUAAUCAGAGAAGGUAAUAAUCCUGUAGUCGAAAACGAAUUCUCUCUUGAGUGGAUCCUGAGUACGACGGAGCACGUGAAAUUCCGUCGGAAUCUGGGAGGACCAUCUCCUAAGGCUAAAUACUCUCUAGUGACCGAUAGUGAACCAGUACCGUGAGGGAAAGGUGAAAAGUACCCCGGAAGGGGAGUGAAAGAGAACUUGAAACCGUGUGCUUACAAGUAGUCAGAGCCCGUUAAUGGGUGAUGGCGUGCCUUUUGUAGAAUGAACCGGCGAGUUACGAUCUGAUGCAAGGUUAAGCAGAAAAUGUGGAGCCGUAGCGAAAGCGAGUCUGAAUAGGGCGAAUGAGUAUUUGGUCGUAGACCCGAAACCAGGUGAUCUACCCUUGGUCAGGUUGAAGUUCAGGUAACACUGAAUGGAGGACCGAACCGACUUACGUUGAAAAGUGAGCGGAUGAACUGAGGGUAGCGGAGAAAUUCCAAUCGAACUUGGAGAUAGCUGGUUCUCUCCGAAAUAGCUUUAGGGCUAGCCUCAAGUGAUGAUUAUUGGAGGUAGAGCACUGUUUGGACGAGGGGCCCCUCUCGGGUUACCGAAUUCAGACAAACUCCGAAUGCCAAAUAAUUUAACUUGGGAGUCAGAAUGUGGGUGAUAAGGUCCAUAUUCGAAAGGGAAACAGCCCAGACCACCAGCUAAGGUCCCAAAAUAUAUGUUAAGUGGAAAAGGAUGUGGCGUUGCCCAGACAACUAGGAUGUUGGCUUAGAAGCAGCCAUCAUUUAAAGAGUGCGUAAUAGCUCACUAGUCGAGUGACACUGCGCCGAAAAUGUACCGGGGCUAAACAUAU
rnacentral:rRNA from 1 species